UAAAACCAGCACCUCAAGUGGUCAGGAUGAUUAUUGGGCCUAAAGCAUCCGUAGCCGGCUCUGUAAGUUUUCGGUUAAAUCUGUACGCUCAACGUACAGGCUGCCGGGAAUACUGCAGAGCUAGGGAGUGGGAGAGGUAGACGGUACUCGGGAGGAAGUGGUAAAAUGCUUUGAUCUCUCGAUGACCACCUGUGGCGAAGGCGGUCUACCAGAACACGUCCGACGGUGAGGGAUGAAAGCUGGGGGAGCAAACCGGAUUAGAUACCCGGGUAGUCCCAGCUGUAAACUAUGCAAACUAAGUGAUGCAUUGGCUUGUGGCCAAUGCAGUAUUUCAGGGAAGCCGUUAAGUUUGCCGCCUGGGAAGUACGUACGCAAGUAUG
rnacentral:rRNA from 3 species